CAAGUACCGNGAGGGAAAGUUGAAAAGAACUUUGAAGAGAGAGUUCAUAAGAAUGUGAAGCCGCUAGGAGCUUAAACGGGUGGAACUGCGAAGGACGAACGAGGGUAUUCACCUCGUCGGGGGGACGGGACCGGGGUGCUCCUAUCGGCCGGAGCCAAGAGCAAACCCAAGCGAGCGCGGGAGCGCCCCUAGCGGUCCGACAGGCAGGUCCCUCCCGGCGGGCGUACUUGUCCCCUCUAGUAGUGAGACGCAGCGAGCCGUCUGGAAGGAGCCAGGAGGGCCGCAUGCACGCACGUCGUGGCGUCCGGACUGGUACCCUCGGUCAGGAAGGGAAACCGGAGCGCGCGCUGCUCGAAGACUGGCUCCGGAGACGGCGGACUCCCAGGGGGCCGCCCACUUCGGUGGGUGGCCCCUCGCUGUGAAGUAGCGGUGAUCCACCUGACCCGUCUUGAAACACGGACCAAGGAGUCUAACCUGUGCGCGAGUCUAAGGGUGGCUGGCGAGACCCGGAGGCGCAAUGAAAGUGAGCGAGCCUGCCUGCGCGCAGGCUCUACGCUGGCCGAUCCCUGGC
rnacentral:rRNA from 1 species